rnacentral:rRNA from 1 species
UACGUAGGGGGCAAGCGUUGUCCGGAAUCAUUGGGCGUAAAGCGCGUGUAGGCGGCUCGGUAAGUCCGCUCUGAAAGUCCAGGGCUCAACCCUGGGAUGCGGGUGGAUACUGUCGGGCUCGAGUCCGGAAGAGGCGAGUGGAAUUCCUGGUGUAGCGGUGAAAUGCGCAGAUAUCAGGAGGAACACCAAUGGCGAAGGCAGCUCGCUGGGACGUGACUGACGCUGAGACGCGAAAGCGUGGGGGGCAAACAGG